AGGAUGAACGCUGGCGGCGUGCUUAACACAUGCAAGUCGAACGAUGAAGGAGGAGCUUGCUCCUCCAGAUUAGUGGCGAACGGGUGAGUAAUACAUGAGCAAUGUGCCCUUGACUCUGGGAUAAGCGCUGGAAACGGCGUCUAAUACCGGAUACCGACCCUCGGAGGCAUCUCCUGAGGGUGGAAAGAACUUCGGUCAAGGAUCAGCUCAUGUCCUAUCAGUUAGUUGGUGAGGUAAUGGCUCACCAAGACGACGACGGGUA
rnacentral:rRNA from 1 species